UUACGGCCAUAUUAAUUGAGAAACACCGAUUCUCGCAUGAUCACUGAAGUAAAGCAACGUCGAACAUCGUCAGUAUCUAGAUGGAUGACCGCUUGGGAAUACCAGGUGCUGUAAG